GCUUAUGGCCACACCGCCUGGUUCACGUCCGAUCUCGUUUGAUCUCGGAAGCUAAAAUAGGUUGGGCCUGGUUAGUACUUGCAUGGGAGACUGCCUGGGAAUACCAGGUGCUGUAAGCC
ensembl:rRNA 5S_rRNA 5S ribosomal RNA